rnacentral:rRNA from 1 species
AUGAACGCUGGCGGCGUGCCUAAUACAUGCAAGUCGAGCGAACAGACGUGGAGCUUGCUCCUCUGACGUUAGCGGCGGACGGGUGAGUAACACGUGGAUAACCUACCUAUAAGACUGGGAUAACUUCGGGAAACCGGAGCUAAUACCGGAUAAUAUAUUGAACCGCAUGGUUCAAUAGUGAAAGACGGUUUUGCUGUCACUUAUAGAUGGAUCCGCGCCGCAUUAGCUAGUUGGUAAGGUAACGGCUUACCAAGGCAACGAUGCGUAGCCGACCUGAGAGGGUGAUCGGCCACACUGGAACUGAGACACGGUCCAGACUCCUACGGGAGGCAGCAGUAGGGAAUCUUCCGCAAUGGGCGAAAGCCUGACGGAGCAACGCCGCGUGAGUGAUGAAGGUCUUCGGAUCGUAAAACUCUGUUAUUAGGGAAGAACAAAUGUGUAAGUAACUAUGCACGUCUUGACGGUACCUAAUCAGAAAGCCACGGCUAACUACGUG